rnacentral:rRNA from 1 species
CACGUAGGGGGCGAGCGUUAUCCGGAUUCAUUGGGUUUAAAGGGUGCGUAGGCGGCCGAUCAAGUCAGCGGUGAAAUGCAAGGGCCUAACCCUUGACGUGCCGUUGAAGCUGAAUGGCUAGAGUGCGGAUGCUGUAGGAGGAAUGUGUAGUGUAGCGGUGAAAUGCAUAGAUAUUACAUAGAACACCGAUUGCGAAGGCAUCUUACAAUCCGCUAUUGACGCUGAGGCACGAAAGUGCGGGGAUCAAACA